CAAGACUGCAACUGUACGUUGAAACAAAUGGCGGGAGCUGCAGCAACAUAUGACAUCUCAUGGAGUUGCAGAUGGAUCGCUAGUACAGAGACUUCUGCCCCCGUCGAGGUUGGUAGGCACAUUAGUGCAAUAAUUGUACCCAGCCAACAAAAGAAUGGAAUCCAUAAGAGUUCUGGAGGUAAGCGGACACUCAGUACGACAGAAAACCGCCAGAAAGAACAUGAAGAUUCCAACGAGCAGAAACCACGCGGUAGCUUUUGGGCGAGCCUCACGGAAAGCAAUACCAAGAGCUAGAAAAGGUAUGGCGAUCGAAUCUAGAGUUGCGAUUAUCUCUCCCGCUGGGCUUCUGGGUAAACUAGAAGCAAACCCCAUGCUCCCUGCCAGAGCUAUGGCAGCACCGAGUGAAAACGAUCCCAGUUUGUUGUCAAUGACCUGCAUAACUGAAAGCGAAUUAGGGUUCUUUAAACAGAGGAGGAGAAGCUCCUUCACUGCAGCCCAUCUUUCUUUAGCACGCUGCAGAUUCAUUGUUGUAAUGGAUGGUAAUUUCAAGACCAGGAAUGCUGCAGAUUUUUUUUCUCCUCCGCCGUUCGAAAUGCAGAGCAUACGAUUUAUUUUCUUCUUUCUCUCUUCUUUCCUCUUCACCGACAUCUUGCUCCUCUUCUCUCCUCACCGUCGGACUACUUUCCUUGCUGUCAAUGUUCUUCUCUGCUCUGAACCUCGCUGUUUCUGCUCAUCUCUUUGCCAUUGUGAGUCCGCUGUAAUUUCCACUGUUGCUUCACAUUUCUAUGUCUUUUUCUUUCCUUGGUGGUGGCGUGGUGUGCGUGGGUUCCGAAUGGGAGUUCUCUUCUUUCUCUAUACUUGCCAUGGUUUGGGUUGCGUCGGACAUCCUUCUUCCUCCUCCGUGUCCGAUCUGCAACGUCUUCUUCUCCCUGUUUCUGUCAUGGGCUUGUUGCUGACUGGAGCUGCUGUGCGAGAGGUAUAGGUGAGGGGGCGAUCCGAGCAAGCAUAAAUUGAAGAUUAGGAAGUUCAUUAAGCGGCUCCAUUAGCCUUUGGUCUACCAUGGUCUACCUAGCUAGUAAGGUGCUUAUAGGAGGUACUAGGCUCAUGCACAGGCCAACGCACAUGAAACGGGGAGAUGGAUAUUUAUAAGCAUCGUACUCACGCUUGUCUCAUGGGCUUAGUGCUUGUGCUUGUUUCGUGGGCUUCUAGCAGCGCUUGAUUAUUUCUUGACUUUAAGCCUCGCUUGUUGAUCUCUGUGGAGCAGAUUGGCAAAAGAAUUCUUUCAAAAGAAUGAAAUUUCUAGUUCCUGCAAUGUGUCUUCAACAGCAAGCAGAAGUCGAUGCCAAGUUUCCACGAUCUAUUCGAGUAAUCACUGCAAACCAUUGUAGUACGGGCGCAGGGUCUCUCUUUUAUCUUUUUUUCUCCAUUCCCUUGAUCUUAACCAUCCAAAUAAAGAUACUAGUUGUAAUCUAAUAUCAUUAUUACCAAAAAAUUUAUCCU